rnacentral:rRNA from 1 species
GAUUGAACGCUGGCGGCAUGCCUUACACAUGCAAGUCAACGGCAGCACGGGAGCAAUCCUGGUGGCGAGUGGCGAACGGGUGAGUAAUAUAUCGGAACGUGCCCAGUCGUGGGGGAUAACGUAGCGAAAGCUACGCUAAUACCGCAUACGAUCUAUGGAUGAAAGCGGGGGAUCGCAAGACCUCGCGCGAUUGGAGCGGCCGAUAUCAGAUUAGGUAGUUGGUGAGGUAAAGGCUCACCAAGCCGACGAUCUGUAGCUGGUCUGAGAGGACGACCAGCCACACUGGGACUGAGACACGGCCCAGACUCCUACGGGAGGCAGCAGUGGGGAAUUUUGGACAAUGGGCGCAAGCCUGAUCCAGCAAUGCCGCGUGCAGGAUGAAGGCCUUCGGGUUGUAAACUGCUUUUGUACGGAACGAAACGGUGAGCUCUAAUACAGUUUGCUAAUGACGGUACCGUAAGAAUAAGCACCGGCUAACUACGUG